GUCCUGAGUGAUUCUUAGCUCUAUGAUUCAGCACAGGAGGGAGGGGUGAGCGAGUCCUGAGUGAUUUGCUUACCCUACGAUUCAGCACAGGAAAGGAGGGGGCUCCUCAAGUGUGUUCCCAGUUCAAUUCAGUCACUCGGUGAAGUCUUUCAUGUUUACUUCAUCCAGCCAUUAUAAUAAAUCCGUGAGUCCUGCAUUUGGGUCUUCUUUCCAUUCCCACACACCUGACUGUGACAGAUUGACAAGACCCUUGCCGUGAAAACAAGGAAUGGACUCUGAAGUAGCGCUUUCCCUUCUGGAGGAGAAGGUGAGGUGGAAACCAUGGCUCAUACCUGAAUAUGAGAAAGUUUUCAACAGGAUUUUUCUGACUCUGAGAGGUCCUCGAAGGUGCCACGCUCCUCCACUUGCUGCUAAGCCUGCACACAAGCUUCCAUGGUGGGGAAUGGGUGCCACCCAUUGAUCUUUGGCUGCUCACUCCCUCUCUACUCCUUGCUCAUCCACCUUCCUCCUUACCCAUUAGCUCUUCUGCCUCGAUAUGGCUAACCAGCUCCAUCUCCCAUCUUGGCUUAUUGGAGGUUGAAGCGCCCGCUGUCGCCGCUCUUCUCAUGCAGAGUUGUUCCCCAGGGAGAGUGGGUCAGACUUUUUUCCUCCUGCUCAACAAAAGCCACUCCUCUUUGCUCUGCUAAAAAGCCAAUGACUGUUCAUUAUCAGCCUACUUCCAUAAGAACUGUUCCAGCCUCUGAGACUAUCUCCCAGGACUAUUAUGUUUUUGAAUCUGACCAUUUCUCUCCUCCUGUGAUCAUGCUAGAACCUGUCUCUUAGCCUGUUCACAGGGCAGCCAGGACCCUGCCUUUCACUGCAACCAUACCAGUUCCCCAGGUGAGGGUGGCUGGCAUCCAGCAGGUUCUGGCACCCACACCGAUUCCUAGGGUGGGGCUGGUGACUUGCCAAGCCACAGCCUGGCAGGCCAUCUGCCUCCUAAGGUGCCGGAUCACUGGCAUUCUGACUGACUUUAACCCCUGAUGUGGACCCUCUAUGCUAUAUGCCACCCUUCAAAUCUACAUCUCUUCUUAUAGACCUAACAUGGUAUACUUUACAUGAUGAGGAAUGGAACUAGAACAGUUCAAGUUCACCCACCA
ensembl:lncRNA